GGCAAAGCAGGGACUGUGCUGUCACAUGCUACUGAAGCAAACAAAAAUCCUAUUGUAUGGGGUGAGGGGUGGGGAAAAAGGAAAAUGAACAAGGUGAGGCAGUGAGGAAGGAAGUACACGUUAGCAUAACCCGCCGUUUAUGGGUUUAAUGUGUGCCCAUGGGUGUGUGCAGGUGCACUCAGGGCACUGUGUUGUGGUCUGCUGCCUGGAGGCAGACCAGGGCUUGUGCGUGGCUUUUGGCUAGAGUUACUCACAGGUGACCCACGGAGUCAGUGCAGGGGCUAUGAGAAUUUGCAUUUGCAUCAAAACGAUGCAGAAUCAAGACUGAAAGAAGUUAAGUAACUUCACUCUAGAUCAUCUGGUAGAGGGUAUAAAGGAGAUCUAGCCCUGGGAAGUUAGGCUCUAAAACCUGUGCCGUUCCUAUGAAAGCACAUUUCCUUCAUAAAAGGGUAACUUACAUCUUGUCUUUUCUGUAGUCUCUAAGUGGUUGAUUCCAUAAGAAAGUACUCAAAGCCAGUGACUGUUGAACUCAGUUUUAGCAUUUUUGGAAACUGAGAUCCAAAAAGUGUAAAUGAUUGUGAAACGGGCUUCAGUGGCUUCGUUGCAAAUCUAGAACUAAACAUCUUUUUCUUUUGCUACAAAAUGUUGUAAAUACUGAAAACAAUUUCUCAUCUAAUUCACUAUUGCAAGCUGUCGCAUAAUUUGGCUAUAAUCUUGAAGCCAAAUGGCUCAUUUUGCAGGCAUUAUUUGCACAGCCAUUUCCUUUCUUUUUUUGUGGCAGUAUAUGUGUGGAUUAGGAGUAACUCACAGCAACCAAAAGUAAACUAAAAACAAAUAUGUCAUUUGAUUUUAAAUGUGCUAAAUUUUGUCCUGAUGUUAGUAUAAAUAGUGUAUAAACAAGAUGUGCACACUACUUGGGGUGGGAUAUAAGGUCAUGAAUCCUUAAUUGUAAAGAAACCAAAAAGUUUUUAGAAAAAGAGUAGGUGGAGAAAACAGAAGAUUAUUGAACAGGCAAUAAUAAGAGAGAUUUAGUGAGAGACUAUAAAAGGCAAAAAAAAAAGAGAAACAGCUCAGAGACUCUGAACUGAGACUAUGUCCACCCCAAAAGAAGACUUUAUGCAGGGGAAUUCUGGAAGCAGACUUUUAAAUAGGCUAAUAUGUAAUCAAGUCCUGGGCAGACUAUAGGGUAGCAAGUUUAACCUAUUGCUGGGAAAAGGAGCUGGAUAUAAAAAAAAGGAAUCUUGACCCCUCUGUGACCAAAGUUUAAGAAAGAAACAUUUAGCGUAUUAUUAGGGUGAGAUAUAUGACUGUGUGUGUCUUGAGUGCAGAGAAAGGAGGCAGGGAUACUCAAGGGUUGACAGAAAAAUGGGUGUAGCAACACGUGUGAUGGGAUAGAAAAAGUCACAGGAAAGCCAUAUGCGAUUGCAACUUUGAGAUAAGGUGAGUAAACCCACAUGUGUCUGUACUCAUGUCUUACCGCUUUUACUGAUACUCAUUUUCAUUUCAGUUUCAAGAAAUCAUUUAAGUCCUUUUUUCUCUGAAGGUAAAUCAAAGUGAAAGAAGUCAUUAAGUCAGGUAACAAAUACUUAUCAAGUGCCUGUUGUUUGCUGGACAUAGCAGGAGUGCUCCCAGGCAAGGAAUAGACACCUAUUUUUCAGACUUCUGAUCUCUUUGGGGAUUGCCAAAAUGACCUCAAGUAGUGAAGAUAUAGUGGAAUAAUCUGUAUUUCUGCUGACCUUGAUGACAUUUGGUUGUCCAGGAAACAUGGUGCUGGCAUCUGCUCAG
rnacentral:lncRNA from 1 species